UUUCGCCUCCACCAGAUGACGACCGUGGACAGAUAACAGAUAGGUCGCCAGUUCGUCGCUUGUUGUCAGAAAUACCCCAUGCAUACACAUUUGUUUUGUGUGUUAAAAGUGUUUGGUUUAAAAAACGUGUUAAACCAAUGGUAUGGCCUCCGAGGACACCCAAGACCAACUGGAUGAGGCUAUUAAAAAGGCAGACCGGCUUUCUGAGGAGCUCAACCAAGAGAAGGACCCACAAACCCAACUGGACGAGGCCAUUAACGAGGCAAAAAGGCUGACUGAGGAGCUCAACCCAGAACGGGCAAUGUAACAAGUCGUACAUUACCGGUAAUGUAACCCCUAUAGCUCCCAUACGUGCAUAAAUAUUCUCAACACACCUCCAGCACCACAGCGUUAUGAUUUAUCAUUGAUUUUUGUUUGUCAAAGUAGACCCCACAUGGCACAAAUGUGAAUUUAAACGUAGCCUCCGUGAUAUGAACUGAACACGGGCAUCAAUGAUAUUGCCCAUUGAGCAUGAGGCACAAGGGUGCACAUGUUAGCUGUGUGAAUGAGCCAGAGCUUGGGUCUACUGCAGGUGCCUUUCCUCAGCUGACAAAUCACUUCACCUUAUGUGAAAAUAAAAUUCUUGCUUGUGCUCCAUAUGUGCACAAGCAAGCCAUGCAUAUUUA
ensembl:lncRNA